AGUGUCCCAAAGAGCCCAAAGAACUGCAGAAGCUCUUCAUUAAAAUAAUCAUAAGAGAUGGAAGAGCCAUUUUCAGUAAUGGGAAAUGCACACAGAUUGUGUGGUAAUGAAAGACGCACACACUAAGCACUCCAGAAUCUUUAGGUUUGUCAUAUAUGCCACCAUGGUGCAAGCAGAUUCAGUCAUGAAUGGAAGUCCACACAAGGUGGUGGAAGAGUUGUGAAAUCAAAGAGGGAUAUUUUUUAAAAAUUUUACCAAAGACCAGGUGCCCAGUUACCUAUGAAAAAGAUCUUUGUGGCAUUAAGGAAGACAUUGAAGAACAACAUGUAAGAGAUUAUUUUGAGCAGUAUAGGAAAGACUGGGGCAGUGAUGAGGAGAGUCUUUGCUUCUGUAAACUUUGGUGACCAUAAGUUCAUGGAUAAGAUUGUCAUUCGGAAACAACAUACUAUGAAUGGCCAUAACUGUGAAGUAGGGAAAUCCCUGGCUAAGCAAGAGAUUGUAAGUGCCUUAUCUAGGUCAAAGUGGUUCUGAAAACUUCAGCAGUCGUUGUGGAGGUUAUUUUAGAGGGAAUGGCAACUUUAAUUAUGGAGGAAAUUACAAUGGUUGUGAUAGCUUUGGUGGCAGCCAUGAUGGUGGUGGAUAUGAUGCCAGUGGGGAUAGUUAUAAUGGUGUUGGUAAUGAUAGAAGCAAUUUUGGAGGUGGUGGAAGCGACAGUGGACAAUGGCAAUUACAAUAAUCUUCAAAUUCUGGACCCAUAAAGGAAGGAGAUCAUGGAGCAGAAGCUCCG
rnacentral:lncRNA from 1 species